rnacentral:rRNA from 1 species
AGAGUUUGAUCCUGGCUCAGGAUGAACGCUGGCGGCGUGCCUAAUACAUGCAAGUCGAACGGUCUAGCGCAAGCUAGAUAGUGGCGAACGGGUGAGUAACGCGUUGGUGACCUGCCCCGAAGUGUGGGAUAACAGUCCGAAAGGAUUGCUAAUACCGCAUGUGGUUAUAGGGAUUAGAUGCCUUAUAACUAAAGGAGUAAUUCGCUUCGGGAGGGACCUGCGUCCCAUCAGCUAGUUGGUAGGGUAACGGCCUACCAAGGCAGUGACGGGUAGGGGACCUGAGAGGGUGGCCCCCCACAAUGGAACUGAAACACGGUCCAUACACCUACGGGUGGCAGCAGUAGGGAAUAUUGGUAAUCUGCGAAAGCGGGAACCAGCAACGCCGCGUGUGCGAUAAAGGCCUUCGGGUCGUAAAGCACUUUUCGAGGGGAUGAGGAAGGACAGUACCCUCGGAAUAAGUCUCGGCUAACUACGUGCCAGCAGCCGCGGUAAAACGUAGGAGGCGAGCGUUAUCCGGAUUUACUGGGCGUAAAGCGCGUGCAGGCGGUUCUGUAAGUUGGAUGUGAAAGCUCCUGGCUCAACUAGGAGAGGUCGUUCAAUACUGCAGGACUUGAGGAUGGUAGAGGGAGGUGGAAUUCCGGGUGUAGUGGUGAAAUGCGUAGAUAUCCGGAGGAACACCAGUGGCGAAAGCGGCCUCCUGGACCAUUUCUGACGCUCAGACGCGAAAGCUAGGGGAGUAAACGGGAUUAGAGACCCCGGUAAUCCUAGCUGUAAACUAUGUAGACUUGGCGUCGGUGGGUUUAAAUCCAUCGGUGCCGUAGCUAACGCGAUAAGUCUACCGCCUGGGGACUACGGCCGCAAGGUUAAAACUCAAAGGAAUUGACGG